rnacentral:rRNA from 1 species
UAGAUGCGAGAGUAGAGCAUAUCAAUAAGCGGAGGAAAAGAAACUAACUAGGAUUCCCUUAGUAACGGCGAGUGAAGCGGGAAGAGCUCAAAUUUGAAAUCUUCAAGGUUCUACCUUGACGAAUUGUAGUUUUAAAGAAGUGUUUUCUGUUGGAGUUUUGGUAAAAGUUCUUUGGAAUAGGACAUCAUAGAGGGUGAGAAUCCCGUAUUUGACCAUUUCUUCCAGCUGUGUGAUACACUUUCAAAGAGUCGGAUUGUUUGGGAAUGCAGUCCAAAAUGGGUGGUAAAUUUCAUCUAAAGCUAAAUAUUGGCGAGAGACCGAUAGCGAACAAGUACCGUGAGGGAAAGAUGAAAAGAACUUUGAAAAGAGAGUUAAACAGUACGUGAAAUUGUCAAAAGGGAAGCGUUUGACACCAGUGUUGUUUUCUCGAAAAUCAAUAAAAAUGGCUGGACUUUGUGUUGUACUGACUUUAUCAGCUUUCUGCACUUUUUUCUUAGUCUUUUUUAAUGCACUUUUCGUUUAACAAGUCAACAUCAAUUUCUUUUGUUGAUAAAAGAGUCAUUGGAAGGUGGCUUUUUCUUCGGAAAAAGUGUUUAUAGCCUUUGGCUUCUGCAAUCGGAGAGAUUGAGGUCUGCAGCGUAGAUCCUUCGGGGUUAGAUACAUUUGUGCUAAGCUAUAGUUCUUUAUAGACAACUUGUUGACUAUAAUCAAUCCUGUAACUUACUCGCUUAUGCUAUUUUACCUACGCUUAGGAUGUUGACGCGCGUGUGUGCGUG